UUAAAAAUAAUAUAAUAAAUUACGAAACAAUUAAAAUGUAAUAUAAUAACUAAUGGGAUAAAAAAGAAAAUCCUGGAAGAGCCGGUCGCAAGCCGCUCUUCUAUAUAAUAGAUAAUAGAAAAGAAAAGAAAAGCUCGAAUUUAUUUUGUGCCCUUAUAUUUUGUCUUGGGCUUUGUAUAAUUGGGCCUUGUUGUUGCGGCGUUGUUAGAAGAGUAGGCCUACAUUCACGGCUUUUAUGGGUUUAGGUGGUCUGCGCUUGGAUUUGCAAGCGGUUAAGCCCCCAAUACGGAGAGGAACACGUCGAUUUCGCCACUUGUCACACAAUAAAUGGUCAAUUGUCUUAACCGCCAAUGAAACAUGUUGUGUUUAUCUCCUAGGAUUCUGUCCGCCGCCACGCAAGUAGGUCGGUUCACCAUCUUAUCUUAUAUAUAGCCUUCAGUUCCUCUGGAAAGAUUGGCUCAAAUGGCUAGGGUGCAGAUAACUUGAAAUUGUUCGCGUUGUUGGUUGGAUUUAUCUAUUGUAAUUAGCUGUCUGUUGAAGAUGUAUUCAGAAGUGGAGAGCAUUGUUCGUAGGAAUUGAUGUGAUGUAAUAGGGACAUAAAAAGGCCUAAUAUCAGGGGGUCUAUGUCCCGUUUAAAUUACUCUGUUACUGCUCGGGCCUUUGCCAUGUCGGGUGCGCUUGCAUGGCAGGUUCCUAUCUUUAAUAAAAAGUGGAUUUUCGGGUUUUGAGGGGGGGAGAUAGCACGGGAUUUUUUUUACCCCGGGAUCUCUCCCCUCUUGUGGUGUGUGUGUGUUUUAUGCUUUUCUGAUUCUUGUUUGCACGUUACGCUCUGCUUAUAUGUGCUUAAGUCGAUCGUCACAUGAACAAUCUUUCAACGGGCAUCCUUAAUCGGCCACCGACAUCAGGUACACAGGAUAGUUGGCAUUUUUCUGGUUGAACUCUGCUGCAACUAAUUAUAAUGAGCGUAAGACAGCAAAAAAAUAAAAUAAAAUGGAGAUUGCUAGUUUUAUUGAUCGUUCUAAAUAUAUGUUGUAACGAGGGCAACUUAAUUUGGGUUAACACAUGGUUGAUAGUUUGUGCAGUGAAGAGCCCUAGAAGAUUGAUAGUUUGUGCCAUAGAAGAUGAAUUAAUGCGUCCUCACAAGUUCAGGACAUGAAUUCCAUCAGUGGUAACAACUCCAAAUCUAAUAACCCAAAUAGCAUCUUUUUCUGUAAAACAUGCUGGGGACAAAAUACGAGUAGCAUCCUCGCGGACCUCAGGUAUGCACUAUAAGCUCGUAAUUAUGAUUCAUAAGGAACAAUCAUGUGCAAAACAAAAGCCUUGGUCCUUUAACAAUGUUUUCAACUUUUGACAAAACUAAAUUAUGGUCUACAUAUGCUUCGAUCUAUGAAUCCGGAUACGAGUUCUAUUGCAGCAGAUGUUUGGUCGAUAGUGUCUCUAUAUGAGUGAUGCGUUGCUCUUGGUUAUCAUAUAAAGUUGCGACUAUAAGAAGCUAGGCAAUUUGCGACGAAGAUUUUCGAAUUUUUAGUUUAAGGGGAACUCUAAAUUUGAAGACCAACCAAAAUCGCUUUGCGUACUGAAGUGCUGGGAUAUUGUUUGUUCAACUUAAAAAAACAAACAGCUUCAUCUGAAAAAAACUUUGGCGCUAGUAUAUUAUUUUGAGUGGGUAAUAGGGCAGAACAAUUCAACUAUGGUGAUUCUUCUGCAUCUCUAGCGGAACCAACUCUGGCAUUUAUGGGGUGGCACGAAACUGAUGGGAUAACUUCUCAUCUAAGGAUUGAAGGAUUAUGUAACUAAAGUCGAAUUAGUUUGCGAUUGAUGUAUUCUGCCAUAUGCCUGAUGAUGCUUUCAGAUGUUGUAUGAUGCUCUGGGUAACUUUUUAUGGUUAUGACCACAUCUUUGUAUAGGCCUUGAAUCUUGAUUGAUUCUAGGCCAAGGUGUUUCAUUUGGUGUCCACUGGUAACAAAUGGUUUGCAGAUCCACUGUCAUGUAGACUUGAGCGUAAGUAGAAGUCGAAGGUCGCUUUUUCGUGUAGCAAAGUUUUGGCAUUCUCUUUUGUGCUGGACCUUCUAAAGGAGAACUGCUGGUAUGCGAAAGCAUGAAUGUCUGUCGGGUCAGGUUGUUCAAGCCAUGCAAAGUGCUCAUUUGAUCGAGUUUGGUACAAGGUCAGGUCGUUCCAGCUCUGUUUAAGCUACCCACAUUGUUCGUUCGAUCGAGUUUCGUACAUGGUAUAUAUAUCUUGAAAUUGAGGAUUCGAUGGCGAAGACCAUUUGUACACUUUUCGGGUGUAUGCUUGUGCAUCUGUUGCCAUUAGAUGGUUUUCUCGUCGUCUUCGCUGGUCAAACUACAAACAUCCAGUUGUGGGAGUGUUCUGCAUGUACUUCUAUGCAAAAUGAAUUUUUAUUCAAAAUGUUCUUGUAAUUUGAGUUUUGGUGAAUGUCUUGAAGUUUAGAAUUUGGUCCCCGUUGUAAACUUUUCAGGUAUAAGUUAAUUGGAGUUUGUAUCUGUCACCGUUGAUCUGGCUUUCUCCUUUUCUUUGUAUGUUAAAUUUAUAAGCAUCCGGUUGAGACAUUUAGGUAUCUUUCUAUUCAUGUAAUUUCAGUUUUGGUACACGAUGUAUAUUCUUGAAUCUUAAAAUUUGAGUGCGAAAACCUUUUGUUUACUUUUCAG